GUCGUGCCACCCGUCUUGCCGGAGCUGCGUGCGCUCCCCGCUCAGCGUGGAGCCGGCCAUGUACCAGUGCAUGGACCGAGUCCCCGACUACUGCCGGCGUCGGUGCAACCCCGAGCCACUCCUCGACCAGUAACCAAGGCAGUAUUUGCCAAGGCAGCUUCCCCGUUGUCUCUUCAGUUGUUCUUUCUUCUUGGCAGAAGAAGAUAGAUGUCAUCGCACAAAACAUGAAGAUUAGGCAACUCCCUCAGAAACCAGAUCAUAUCACACCAUUCAUGAAUCACAGAAAUCACUGGAUAUCAUCCAGUCUGAUAGGGGUAAUAAUGGCGACAUGAUGGGUCACGACGUCAGCCUCUCCGGGGAGAGGACGUCACUCCUCCCGAGGAGGAGGACAAUAAAGCUGACUCAACGUGCGCUAACGUCACCCGCUCUCAGAUAACGACUUCAUCGUUGUAGACAACGACUUCAUCAUUGUCUGACCCCGCCCGCUUGAUCGAGGCAGAGGAGGACGACGAUCGCUCGUCCAUACCCUGCGGCAGUUCGGUUCUCGACACAACGUCAUCGGUAAUGUCAGACGCCAUCAGAGGUAUGAUCUUGCUUCCUGCAGGCAGACAUAUCAGGUAAUACUAAUCUGCCCUAUAAGUACCCCGAGUUCUAAACGAGGAGAAUUAGAUUUAUUAUCUUCCCUUUUUCUUAUAUUUUAACUACUUUAAAUGAUUGAAUUAGAAUAAUAAUUAACAUUAAAAUAUGAACUAAGAAAAAAAAAUCUAAGUCUUUCAACAUAUAAUAUAAUAUAAUAUAAUAUAAUAUUAUGUUAAGAGCUUCGAGUAGGCUCGUCGACCGCUACUCCCACCUCGGUGGCCCGCCAACCGUUCGACAGAAUGCAGGAGAGGACCAUCUUCUCGUGGAACGCCCUCUCGAAGACCAUCUUCUUGAGAAGCAAGCCGAAUCCACUGCAAAUGUCGGGCUUGCUGAGGAGAGAGCAUGCGUCCGUCCCCGUGAGCUUCAGUCAGUGAAUGCAGGGACACCCAAGAUGUGGGAAUAGGUGACCGGAGCGAACAAGCCUUCGGAAUCCAGGGGACUGCCGAAGGUGCCUGGCUGCCGCUGAAUCUUGCUGGGGCACAGCGAGAAAUUGGUCAUGCUUAAAGAACUUUUAAGGCACCGGGAGGAUGGUGUUGAAUGUUCGUCAAUGAUGAACGGGACUUAAGAGGCAGUUGACUAAUAACUGAUAGCAGCUAAGAUUUUCUUUUCUAAAUUGGGAGUAUAUAUCAAACAUAAAAAUAUUUUCUUCAUUUUAUUCUUUCAUGGUAUUAAAGCCUCUCUUGUUUUAGCAAGAUUUUCUUAGAACAAUUACUUUGAUCUCCUCGA